rnacentral:rRNA from 1 species
AGGAUCAACGCUGGCGGCGUGCCUAAUGCAUGCAAGUCGAACGGGGUGGCCUUCGGGUCACUUACGUGGCGGACGGGUGAGGAACACGUGGGCAACCUGCCUGAUGGAGGGGGGAUAACCGCUGGAAACAGUGGGUAAUACCGCAUAAUCCUGGAUCUCGAGUGGGAGAUGUAGGGAAAGUCGCAAGACGCCGACAGAGGGGCCUGCGUCCGAUUAGCUAGACGGUGGGGUAACGCCUACCGUGGCAGUGAUCGGUAGCUGGUUUGAGAGGAUGAUCAGCCACACGGGGACUGAGACACGGCCCCGACUCCUACGGGAGGCAGCAGCAAGGAAUUUCCGCAAUGGGCGAAAGCCUGACGGAGCAACGCCGCGUGUGGGAUGACGCUUUUCGGAGUGUAACCACUGUCGUGGGACGAAGCACUGACGGUACCCGACGGACGGAAGGCCCGGACUAACGUACGUGCCAGCGAGCCGC